AUGGCGCGCACCGGCACGGAGUGGGCGGCGCUGAGGUGGCCGGCGAGGUCCGGCGCCGCGCUGACGAAGGGGAGGGCGCAGAGCGGGCAGUGGAACACGCACAUGUCGAUCUUCACGGCGAGCUCCGCCCUGGGGCUGUGCUCCGCCACCGCAACGAUGGCGCCUGCUCCGGCCGCCGCGUCGUGCGCGACGAGCUCUUGCUUCACGGAGUGGGCGUCGGGCAGGUCCAGCCGCGCCUUCUUGGCGCUCUCGUCGGCCUGGUCCAUGGUCGACGGCGAGCCCCUGCUCCUGCCCUCGGCGGCGCCGGCGCCCUGCAUCCUGGCUCUUGCUCUUGGGGAAAGGAAAACCCUCUCUGGCCAAGCUUUACCUGUACGAGGCGCAAGAGCAAACGGGGCGAGGACAAGGAGCUCGGCCGGUACCGCACUGGAGAUUGAGAUGCUUGCUUCAUCAUUGACUAGUGCCGAAUUCCACCCGCGUCCCUCCACUUACCACUAUUCCACACACAGCCCCUAG
rnacentral:rRNA from 1 species